rnacentral:snRNA from 2 species
AUAUAUCGUUUGUUUUAGUCAACAAAUGACGACAAGAUAUAUUGUUUGUUUUAGUCAACAAAUGAUGACAAGUUUUGUAAAUUGUGGGCCAUCGGCCCACUCGAUAUUAAUCUUAUUUUUUAUGGGAAAAGGUCGAUCACAAUAGCUUGCUAUUGGGGUCUUUGAGUGUCGCCUUGGCGUUGCACUACUGCCUUGGCCUGGCACACCCCUC